rnacentral:lncRNA from 1 species
UGGAAGGUGAUCAGGUCAUGGGGGCACCACCCUCAAAAUAGGUUAAUGCUGAUCUUUCAAAGAGUAUUGUGUUGGCAAGAAUGGGUUUUUAUAAAGAAAGUUCCCUUUAGCUCCCUCUUUUGCUUCUUGUCUCAUCACGUGACCUCUUUCUUGAAUGAGCUCCCACCAUUAUGAUACCGUCUGCCACAAGGCCCUCACUAGAGCCAACCAGGUGCUGGCACCAUGUUCUUGAGUCUCCGGGAAUGUGAGUGAAAGAAAUCUCUUAUCUUUACAAGUCGUCCAGUUUCAGGUAUUUUAUAAUAGCAACACAAAACAGACUAAGACAAUACUGGAGGACUUAUUUCUCUGUUGGUAGUGCUGUAUGCAGAAACCUCAGCCUCAGUCCUGGGCAAUAUUUGCUCUGGCUAAAGAAAUUGCCCUGCUCAAGGUCACAUGCUUCCCUUCUGCUGCAGCCAACAUCCAAAGACUGAAGGAAAAUGCCAUUGAAGCGUACUGGCUUAUUAGUGAUUUCUGGGAUCUCUAAACAGAGCAAGUACUUUGCUUGGGGUAGUUUAUUAGUACAUUUCUGUUUAUUGGAGUUGGAAGCUAGUAAGGAUGACUUUAAUACCAAAGUGAGGAGCCAAGUGGUUCAGCAGGGAAGCUUCCAGGUUUGGAGCAGGAUUUAGUGAUGAUGUAGGUUGAGGUUAAGGAAUUUAAUGAGCAGGAUUCUACCUACAAAUAAUGUUCACUUUUUCUCCUGAAACCUUUUCCCUUUUACAGUAUAUGCUAUAAAACACAGUAAGUGAACAUCAUUUAAUUUUGCUCACUCGUGUUUCAUUUGUGAUCAUCUCUUCCCAUCAAAGUACAUAAGUUCUUUCAGAAUAAGGACCAGUUUUUAAGCAACUCUGUUUUCUAUAGCACUGGACAUCAUGCUGUCUUAGAAGACACACAUUUGCCAAUCAGCUUAUUUCUAACACAGCUAGUGGGUACAGUUUACCUUCUCCAAUUCCUAGGUGUUGUGGCAAAUCAGGUUUUCAGUUUUAUUUGCUGAGUAGGUGUCAUAGGGAAGAGCCCCGGGGGAGGAAGUUGCUACAGAUGAAGGGAAAACAAACUAUGAUCCCAAAG